UCAACCAAUCAAAUAGUAUUUUUUCCAAAGGAUUUGUUAUUAACCACAAAUAGUGCUACAUAUUUACAAACUCUUCAUUAUUUUUUUCUUCCUUCUCUUUUUUUUUUCUUUCAAUUUCUUUUCUUUUUGUGAUGUAGUUACACUCUCGAUUAUUUCAAAAAACAAAUAUGAAUCACAACAUGAAAACAUAACAAAACACUAAACAAAACGGAAUUGAAAACAAAUUAUUUACAUGUUAAUAGGUAAUGAUUAAUAGAAAACUAAACACAAAUGUCGUUAUCUUUUCUAUCGAUUUUUUCUCGAUUUCCAAUUGAAAACUGCUUAAACGCGAGUGUAUUGACAUUUUAUUUAAAAUAUCGAUAUGCACAUACUGAUUUACCAAAACCAGACUUUCAAGAAUAUCGUCGAAAAUCUCUUCUUAAUUCAAAUAUAUCGGCUAAACGAAGUACUGAUGAACGAAGAACAGCAAAUUAUGCUGCAUCUUUUGUGGCAGGUGUCGCAGCACUUUAUGGAUUAAAAUCUCACAUAUUACAUUACAUAUUUUUUCUUGCCCCAUCACGAGGUAUUUUAGCAGAAGCACAAAUUGAAAUUAGUUUACGAGAUAUACCGGUAGGAAAAGUAUCAAUAUUUAAAUGGCAAGGAAAGCCAAUUUUCGUUUAUCAUCGCUCCCAAUCCAUUAUAGACCAAGAAAGAUUAGUAAACAUUGCGGAAUUAAGAGAUCCUGAAAGCGAUAAUGAAAGAGCUAAACGACCUGAAUGGUUAAUUGUCAUUGGAAUUUGCACGCAUCUUGGUUGUGUGCCAAUUCCUAAUGCCGGUAUAAUACGUGGUGGAUUUUAUUGUCCAUGUCAUGCAUCUCACUUUGAUGCAGCUGGACGUAUACGUAGAGGACCAGCACCUACCAACUUAGAAAUACCUGAAUAUAAAUUUCUCACCGAUGAUACUAUUCUUGUUGGCUAAUUACCGUACUUGAUAUUUAUCACUGUUCUAUUAAUUACUUUUUUUUAUUCUAUUUAAUAUAAUAUUAAUCUUUAUUAUUUAUUUCUAUAAAAAUGAAACUAUUUCUUUUCUUUUCUUAUUAUUUCUAUAUUUUUUUACAUAUUAUUAUUAAUAUUAUUAAUUAUUAAUAUCAUCGCAAUAUCUGUUAAUUAUUAUCUAUUAUUAUCUUCGUUAUCUUGUUUAAAAAAAUAUAUAAAUAAAUAAAAAUAUAUAGAUGGCGCUAAAGCCACACUUCGACCAUUUUAUGUUUGAUAAUUUUCGAUUGUUGAUCAAACGUGAUACUAAUUCAUCAUACUAUAAAAUUUAAAAAUUGAGUCAAAAUGACACCACCAAUGGAAAGAAUACAGAUUCUUGAAACAAUUGAAAAAGAUAUUAUAGUGUGUUUGCAAAGUGCAGGACAACCACAUGAAGGUUCUGGAUAUGCCAGUCAAAAAGUAUUACAAAUGGCAUGGCAUAGGUUAGAACAUGCACGAAGCAGAGUAAAUGAAUUAGAACGUAUCAAAAACAAAUCAAGAUGAACACAUCUAAUCAUCUUUCUCAAUUCAUUAUUUUCAAUAUAUCAAUCAUAAAUGUUUCAAUU